rnacentral:rRNA from 1 species
UACGGGGGGAGCAAGCGUUGUUCGGAUUUACUGGGCGUAAAGGGCGCGUAGGCGGUCGUGACAAGUCACUUGUGAAAUCUCCGGGCUUAACUCGGAACGGUCAAGUGAUACUGUCGGACUAGAGUACAGAAGGGGCAACUGGAAUUCUCGGUGUAGCGGUGAAAUGCGUAGAUAUCGAGAGGAACACCUGCGGCGAAGGCGGGUUGCUGGGCCGACACUGACGCUGAUGCGCGAAAGCCAGGGGAGCGAACGGG